AUUUAGUUGUACAAAUCUAAAUUAAGUGUUGUAGUAUUUUGUGGAAUGUACUAUAUAUCAAGAUACAGAGGAAAUUGUUCUGGCAUGUCAGCCUUUUUUCUUUCAUUAGCAGAGUGCAUGUGUUGGUACGCUGGUUAUUGUUUUUGUUUCUAGAGCCAAUUGUUUGGAUGCACUGCAAAGGAAGUGCAGCUCAUAAGAUAUGCAGUAAUUUCCAUAAUGAAAUACAAGAGUGAUAAAAAUUAUAUAUUAAUCUUACCACUUUCCCUGAUAAGCUGCACUAGGUAUUCACAAAUGGAUCCAAGAUAAAAUCAUUUUUCUGAAACUUUUUUUAGUGAGAUGGUUUUCCAGCAAAUAGCAUUUACAAGAUAAAGUGAUUAUGUUUUUAACUCAUUUCCCUUCUUUGGUAUUGGGUUAUGUGUGUGUGUUUUUUUACGUGAGAGCUGAUUAUUGCUUAAGAAGUUUUCUUAUGGCAAAAUAAUGUAAAUAAUUUCUAUGACCUACAUUUUUUCAGAAACUCAUUUACUAUUACGGUUGUCAUUUAUUACUAAGAAUUUUUCUGUUUUUGUCCUUUAUAAUAUUAUAUUAAACUUAAUAACUAUUAUAGGUAAUCUUGAAAUAUUUGUAUGUGUUUGUUACCUUAAACAUUUGAAAGAAGCACAAAAAAGUAGAUUUAGUUAUCCCAGAGAAACACCAAUUUUUUAGUAGUAGCAAUUUUAUAUCACAGUUUUAUUUUCUUAUGAAGUCAAAAAAAAACCACAUUGCUACUCAUUAAGGCAAGUUCAUUAUUUAACAUAAAAACCAGAAUAAUCUUUUGAAAUGAAAAAAAAAGUACUAUUUUUAUUUUAACAGUAUACUUCUUAAGCUCUUAUUACCAGCUCUAGAGAAUUUUUUGGAAUAAUUAUGCAUUCCCUAAUGUGUGCUUUACAAACUGUGUAUCAUCAUAACCCAGUAGCCGUGACAGAAAUCUCUUUUCUUUGCACCCCCAUCCUCCUCUUUUUGUUUCUCUCUCGCCCCCACUCUCUGUAAUAGUCACUAGCAGGUUGUGUUUAUAGCAACCAUUGGAAAGACCGUCAAUAAAAACGACAAAAAACAUUUAGUUGUUCAGAAAUUGAAAGUUAGAGAACUUGGAUUUAUUUAACUCAGUGCUGCCAGAAAAUAAUGCUAUAAAAUUAAAUUACUUUAAAACUCUUGAAUGAAAGGUGCUAUUUAAAUGUAAAUACUAAGGGUUUACUGAAACACGAUACACAUACUAAAAAUCUAUUCUCUAGACUUUGAAAUCUUCUUUGUGACUCCUUAGAUUCAAGUCUCAAAUUGGUAAAUGGGUAUCAUGGAAGUCUAGAGACAGUUGCAUG
rnacentral:lncRNA from 1 species